UACGUAGGGAGCGAGCGUUGUCCGGAUUCAUUGGGCGUAAAGAGCUCGUAGGCGGCUUGGUAAGUCGGAUGUGAAACCUCCAGGCUCAACCUGGAGUCGCCAUCCGAUACUGCCAUGGCUAGAGUCCGGUAGGGGCCCACGGAAUUCCUGGUGUAGCGGCGAAAUGCGCAGAUAUCAGGAGGAACACCGAUGGCGAAGGCAGUGGGCUGGGCCGGCACUGACGCUGAGGAGCGAAAGCGUGGGGAGCGAACAGG
rnacentral:rRNA from 1 species